rnacentral:rRNA from 1 species
GAUGAACGCUAGCGGCAGGCCUAAUACAUGCAGGUCGGACGGGAUUGAGGAGCUUGCUCUUCAUGAGAGUGGCGCACGGGUGCGUAACACGUAUGUAACCUACCUUUGUCAGGGGGAUAGCCUCUCGAAAGAGAGAUUAAGCCCGCAUAAAAUCACAGAGCAGCAUUGCUUAAUGAUCAAAUAUUUAGUAGGACAGAGAUGGGCAUGCGGGAACAUUAGCUAGUUGGUAAGGUAACGGCUUACCAAGGCUACGAUGUUUAGGGGAUCUGA